rnacentral:rRNA from 1 species
AUUGAACGCUGGCGGCAGGCUUAACACAUGCAAGUCGAGCGGGGUGAUGGUGCUUGCACUAUCACUUAGCGGCGGACGGGUGAGUAAUGCUUAGGAAUCUGCCUAUUAGUGGGGGACAACAUCUCGAAAGGGAUGCCAAUACCGCAUACGUCCUACGGGAGAAAGCAGGGGAUCACUCGUGACCUUGCGCUAAUAGAUGAGCCUAAGUCGGAUUAGCUAGUUGGUGGGGUAAAGGCCGACCAAGGCGACGAUCUGUAGCGGGUCUGAGAGGAUGAUCCGCCACACUGGGACUGAGACACGGCCCAGACUCCUACGGGAGGCAGCAGUGGGGAAUAUUGGACAAUGGGGGGAACCCUGAUCCAGCCAUGCCGCGUGUGUGAAGAAGGCCUUAUGGUUGUAAAGCACUUUAAGCGAGGAGGAGGCUCUUUUGGUUAAUACCCAAGAUGAGUGGACGUUACUCGCAGAAUAAGCACCGGCUAACUCUGUGCCAGCCGCCGCAGUAA